GAUAGACGUUCUUCCAAAGUGACUGAGAUUUGCUUGAAACAUAAUAAUAUGCAUUUUUUGUUUUUCAGCGUACAGAGUGUUUUCUUACACAAGUCUCAGCAAAAUUCCUGUAGUACGGAUAUGGUUCUUUCCAUUUCACAUGUGAGAAAUCUGAGCGCAGAAAAGCACUGCUGUGUUCUCAGGCCCCCUCUCACUCCUCUUGGGCUUGGUUUCCACCACAGUCAAGGCAACCAGAGGACAAGAUGUGAACGAUGAAGCUACAUCAGAACUGAAAGGGGGUUUUUCCUUCCCGGGGAAGUGCUCCUUUCCACAGCACUGUAAUGAUAUGCAGACCUUCAUCAGCUGGGAUGCUCUGUUUCCUCCGGACUAUCAGCUGUGAACAUUUCUAUUAGCAUCAGUUAAUCCUUGACCCCCUUCUUGGGUUGCUAUUUGGGUUUCUUCCAGAAGGUGAAUUGAUGCUGUGGCGUUUAGCUGCAUUAGCUAGUCAUCGUGGCAACGGAUUCCAAAUAGGUUCUGUCAUAUGUACUGCUGGAGGGGGUAGUGGAUUGGUUGGCUGCUCACUCCUAGCAUCUUUGCACCCUGAAUGUGAUCAGGGAGUAGCUAAAAGUUGGCGAAAGAAGGGGAAAAAAGGGUUGUUGACAGCACAGCAGUAAUAGAAUCUGGAAGCCCCAACUGGGGAAUUGCACGGGGCUAGAAGAACAGCGAGGCUGAAG
rnacentral:lncRNA from 1 species